rnacentral:pre_miRNA from 1 species
AUCAUAUUUGGUAGCCAAGGAUGACUUGCCUGUUUCUUUGAACAAAAUGGUUGAUGUGACUAUAAGUUAUAUCAAGAAUGAAAUUUUGCUUAUAAAAAGACAUCAGACAGUCUCCUUGGGUAUCCUUAUAUGUUCU